CCGGAGUCACUUCUCAACGCGGUGCGCACAGACCCAGGAUUUGUGAAGAGGUGACCCAAAUUUAAAGACAACGUUGGAUGCAAACCGAUUUGCCAGCAAUUGCGUCACCAUCAAAACCAGCUCUGAACGUGUCUUCCAAAGAUACCAAGUGAAAUACGUACAGAUGGGAUUUACGUCUGAAAAACCAGAGCAGGAGUCCAUGGGAAGGGACGGAGGUGGAACAGGACUGGACCAGAGCAGAACUGGACUGGUAAGUGGUUGUUGCUGAGUACUGGGCAAAUGGAGCAGGAGUCAAGACCUCUGCAGCAGGUCAUGGCGUUUCACAGAACCCGCAAGGAGAGGAAUCCAUGCCUGCACCUGUCACGGGAAUCCUUCAGAAGGGAAGGCUGAGAGCAGCAAGCCAUACAAAAUGAUUCCCAGACCAGGAUGAACGGUUACCUUCCCUGCCUACCUCGGCAUGAGGCUCCCUCCAGCUGGCAGUCCUAGAAGGCUUCUAGUCGGGCUUCUAGUCGGUGCUGGGAGGGGAGGUCAAAGAAGAGAAAAUCCAGGAACCUCUGCCACCGCCUCGACCAGAGAGACAGCAUCGCAGCUCUGGGUUUGUCUGGACUGCCGGGGCCACUGUGUGCUGCGUCAUCCAAGGACUCCCGUGCUCGGCUGAGCCAGUCUUCUAUUGCUGCAGGCGGCCAGCUGCAGGACUAGAAUACGCACAGAUUUGAUAUAUUCAGGGGUCCUGGAACCAAGUCUCUGAGUACAGCAAGGGGUGUCUGAAUAUAUAUUUUUCCUCCGACACGGAAGUUAGUGCUUCAUACACACCCUUUUUCUUCCUCCUAGCAAGGUACUUGGUACUCCUUCCCUAUCAGCCCCCAAAGAGCUUCCUCCAUCUUGGCGGCAGCUGUGUGAAAUUUAUACCAUUUAUUUAACCAAGCCCUACUGACUGACCUUUGGCUGGUCACACACACUGGCUGUUACAUCAUGCAGCCUCUGUCUGUCCCACCUUCCAGAUCCCCACCACCCUGCUUUUCUUGUCCCCACACCACACCCCAACCCAGGAACCAGCCAGGUAAAGGGAGGACCCUUUCUCUUUAAGAAGGUGGAGCAAGAGGAUGGUGGUGAGCAGUCAUCAUUUGACAUUUUCUUUCUUUCGUGCACAGAUGCCUUGGCAUUGUGUUUGCUUGCAUGCAGCUAUGCCCUGCAGCCACUGUGGAAUGCUCGCGUAAGGAGCCCUUCUCUGCACAUACCCCGACACCGUGAUGGCAUCUUGCCUCUCCCCAAGGCACUGCAGUCUAGUGGUCAGAAGCCCGAAGCCCAGCUCUGCCAGUAAUGUACUGUGUGCUCUUAGGUAAUCACCUUGCUUCAGGACAAUGGAAUAGUAACAGCUAAGCCAUGUACCCGGCACUACUAAUGAGAGCAUUGCAUAUUUAGCCUUAUUUACUUAAAACAACAUUUUGAGGUGGGCCACAUGAUUUUCUCCAUUGUGUCUUUCUGAGUCACAGAGAGGUUAAGUAACUGUGCAGGGUCACACAGCUCAGCAGAACUGAGAUUCACUCUUAACAAUCCGGCUGUAGGUUAUCACGAGGGUUACAUGUAUCAGUGAGCAGAAGGUCCUUGGACAAGGACCCAGUACAUAGCAUGUGCUCAUUAAAGCUUAGCUGUUGUCAUUAGGACUUGCCUAAGGAAUUGGAAUAUGGCUGGUCUUGCCUAGGUGGGGAGGAGGGAAGACUGAAAAAUACCAUUCACACUUAGAAAAGUCAAAGAUUCCAGUUUACUCUGUCACUUUUUUAAAAGCUCUGUAUUCAUGGGAGAGGAGGAGGAAGAGCAGCUCCCACUGGGAUCAGGUGGGAAGUGAGCCCGGGUCACCCUGUUAUUACAAGCCCCGCCCAAGGAGCCUGGCUUCCCGUCCGGCCUCCGGGAUCAUGCUAGCACGGGGCUCUGUCAACGUGAAAUGUGCAAAUGAUUUGGCGUCCCCCCUCCCUUGCUUUUCUUUGCAGCAGACAGAGAAGCAAAGAAGUUAGCGAGCUUGUUUUGGCAGAAGAAAAAACACAAAAUGCCCAACCACAGAUUCUCAAAAAUAUUGCUAUGCACUAAUUUUGCUAACAUGUUAGACAGCCCUCGGAUCUAGGCAAUCUUGUUCCUCGGCUGGGAAGAGUUCCCGCAAGCCAUGUGAUCCCAAAUCCACCCUAGGGAUAAUGAGAAAAUCAGUUCCGGCCUUCCCUGGCCUUCCAGCCAAGCUGAACCAGGGCAUCCCCUGAUGCUUCAGCCCAGGGCCCACCCAGAGGAUGCUAGCUGGUGUGCAGAGGCCUCAGCCCUGCCCUCCUGGACUCAGGUAAGACCCAGAGGUUUCCAUGACCUCAAAAUAAUUUAUCAGACAAAAACUCACUGCCCAGGUCAAAGUCACAGCACCAGAAAGCCAACUGGAGGGCAAAGACAAGGCUCCUUGUUGCCACAGUCCCCUGACCCUUCAAGGUCAGCAUCUCCGUCAAAAUAGGCUCAGUACUGAGGUAAGAAGGAGAACAUCACUGUUAAGAAGGUAAUGAGUCACAAAUGCUAUUUUGAUGGUUUUCUUUGAAAGAAAUACACAUAACCAAACCAAUUUUAAUUAAAGAUCUUGUCUUUGUAAUCAGGCAGCCACAAAUGAAGGCAAAACUGCUUUCAUGUGGCAUAAUAUACACAGAGCUGAACUAGUUUUCCCAUAAAAGGGCAGGUUCUUUUUUUUCAAAUAAGAAACUAGUUUGUUCUUCACAAUACGGGGGAUGCAACAGAAAGCUGUCUUUUGCAAAGUAUAAAAUUGCAAAUCCUCCCAUAAAAGCCAUGUGUUGAUGCUAAACCAGUGCGAACAUUUGCCAAAUGAGCAUGCCAGCCAGGAUUAUCCUACCCUUUGAGAUUAGACAUGUGAUCCUGAUUUUUAAGUGAAAAAUGCAGCCCAAGACCAAAUAAACAUACCUACAAGCACAUCGAAAGCUCAAAUGGUUGAGAAAUGAUUGGAACACACCCUGGUGUGUAUUUCUGAGGAAGAAUCAACGUGAACAUGGAAACUGAUGUUUUGAGUUUUGGUUGUAAAACUGCAACAGAAGUGAAAUACCGCCCCUAACUAUGUCCACUGAAACUAGUGAGGAGAUAAUCAUUUUCAGUUAAAUAUGCAUGUAAUUUAAUAACCCACAGAGGGCAAAUACAUUUGAGGUGGCCUGAACACAGUUAGGAGUUCUUGCUUAUCAGCAGCGUUGAAUCCUGCCUUUAUUAGAGAAAGUUGCCCUGUGACCUGCUGUACCCAGAGGGCAACCUGGAGACCACUCCCCCAUCACACCACACUCACUGGACU